rnacentral:rRNA from 1 species
AGGUACAGAGGGAGUGCUACCGGGCGACUGGAUGCGGAUCUCGAAAGCCUGUCCCAGUUCGGACUGGAGUCUGCAACCCGACUCCACGAAGUUGGAUUCGCUAGUAAUCGCGCAUCAGCCAUGGCGCGGUGAAUACGUUCCCGGGCCUUGUACACACCGCCCGUCAAGCCAUGGAAGCCGGGGGUGCCUGAAGUGUGCAGCCGCAAGGAGCGCCCUAAGGUAAAACCGGUGACUGGGGCUAAGUCGUAACAAGGUACC